rnacentral:rRNA from 1 species
UACGUAGGUGACAAGCGUUGUCCGGAUUUACUGGGCGUAAAGAGCGCGCAGGCGGUCGGUCAAGUCGAGUGUGAAAGCCCCCGGCUCAACUGGGGAGGGUCAUUCGAUACUGAUCGACUCGAAGGCAGGAGAGGGUAGUGGAAUUCCCGGUGUAGUGGUGAAAUGCGUAGAUAUCGGGAGGAACACCAGUGGCGAAGGCGGCUCACUGGCCCGAUACUGACGCUGAUGCACGAAAGCGUGGGGAGCAAACAGG